AGAGUUUGAUCAUGGCUCAGAACGAACGCUGGCGGCGUGGAUAAGACAUGCAAGUCGAACGCUUAUUUCCUGGUAGCAAUAUUAGGGAGUAGGAGUGGCGCAAGGGUGCGUAACACGUGGAUCAUCUGCCUGGAAGUUCGGAAUAAUUCCGCGAAAGCGGGACUAAUGCCGGAUGUGGUUGGAAGACUAAAGCUGGGGACCGCAAGGCCUGGCGCUUCCAGAUGAGUCCGCGGCCUAUCAGCUAGUUGGCGGGGUAAUGGCCCACCAAGGCUAAGACGGGUAGCUGGUCUGAGAGGACGACCAGCCUCACUGGAACUGAGACACGGUCCAGACACCUACGGGUGGCAGCAGUCGAGAAUUUUUCUCAAUGGGGGAAACCCUGAAGGAGCGACGCCGCGUGGGGGAUGAAGGGCUUCGGCCCGUAAACCCCUGUCAUUUGCGAACAAAUGUCAUGGUUGAACAUUCCAUGGCUUGAUUGUAGCGAAAGAGGAAGGGACGGCUAACUCUGUGCCAGCAGCCGCGGUAAUACAGAGGUCCCAAGCGUUGUUCGGAUUCACUGGGCGUAAAGGGUGCGCAGGUGGGUUGGCAAGUUUGAUGUGAAAGCCCCGGGCUUAACCCGGGAAUGGCAUUGAAUACUGCUGAUCUGGAGGAUUGGAGGGGGGACUGGAAUUCUUGGUGUAGCAGUGAAAUGCGUAGAUAUCAAGAGGAACACCAGUGGCGAAGGCGAGUCCCUGGACAAUACCUGACACUGAGGCACGAAAGCCAAGGGAGCAAACAGGAUUAGAUACCCUAGUAGUCC
rnacentral:rRNA from 1 species